UUCCAGACAAUUCCAGUGCGGCCGUGGUAGAACUUGUGGGGCAUACCCUUGUGAACGGCUCCGUUCACCUUGAUGUCCACAUACUGGCCGACCUUGAAGGUCCGCAAGUAGGUAGUCAAGGGGAUGUAACCUUUGUGGCGGAAGGGCCUGGAGAACAAGUCCCUGGUGCGGGAUCGCAGCCCGUGUCCGGCCGGCAUCCUUGCUGCUGCUAGGUAUUCAC
rnacentral:lncRNA from 1 species